AGUUGUUGCUGCCGCUGGUUUGAAAUCGCAGCUGCUUCGUGUUAUUCCGUGUCGCUAUGGUUAUUGCGAAUGUGGCUUGAAGCUGAGGUUGCGGUUGUUGAUGAUUUCGGGUUGAGGCGGAAAGGACUCUG